GGUCUUCGGAUGCUGACGAGUGGCGAACGGGUGAGUAAUACAUCGGAACGUGCCCAGUGAUGGGGGAUAGCUCGGCGAAAGCCGGAUUAAUACCGCAUACGCCCUGAGGGGGAAAGUGGGGGAUCGCAAGACCUCACGUUAUUGGAGCGGCCGAUGGCUGAUUAGCUAGUUGGUAGGGUAAAGGCCUACCAAGGCGACGAUCAGUAGCUGGUCUGAGAGGACGAUCAGCCACACUGGGACUGAGACACGGCCCAGACUCCUACGGGAGGCAGCAGUGGGGAAUUUUGGACAAUGGGGGAAACCCUGAUCCAGCAAUGCCGCGUGUGCGAAGAAGGCCUUCGGGUUGUAAAGCACUUUUGUCAGGGAAGAAAUCCUUUGGGCUAAUACCCUAGGGGGAUGACGGUACCUGAAGAAUAAGCACCGGCUAACUACGUGCCAGCAGCCGCGGUAAUACGUAGGGUGCAAGCGUUAAUCGGAAUUACUGGGCGUAAAGCGUGCGCAGGCGGUUGUGUAAGACAGGUGUGAAAUCCCCGGGCUUAACCUGGGAAUUGCAUUUGUGACUGCACGACUAGAGUGUGUCCGAGGGGGGUGGAAUUCCACGUGUAGCAGUGAAAUGCGUAGAUAUGUGGAGGAACACCAA
rnacentral:rRNA from 1 species